rnacentral:rRNA from 1 species
AUUGAACGCUGGCGGCAUGCUUUACACAUGCAAGUCGAACGGUAACAGGUUAAGCUGACGAGUGGUGAACGGGUGAGUAAUGCAUCGGAACGUGCCCGAUCGUGGGGGAUAACGCAGCGAAAGCUGCGCUAAUACCGCAUACGAUCUGAGGAUGAAAGCGGGGGACCGUAAGGCCUCGCGCGAUCGGAGCGGCCGAUGUAAGAUAAGGUAGUUGGUGGGGUAAAGGCUCACCAAGCCAACGAUCUGUAGCUGGUCUGAGAGUACGACCAGCCACACUGGGACUGAGACACGGCCCAGACUCCUACGGGAGGCAGCAGUGGGGAAUUUUGGACAAUGGGCGCAAGCCUGAUCCAGCAAUGCCGCGUGCAGGAAGAAGGCCUUCGGGUUGUAAACUGCUUUUGUACGGAGCGAAAAGGCUCUCUCUAAUACAGGGGGCUCAUGACGGUACCGUAAGAAUAAGCACCGGCUAACUACGUGCCAGCCGCCGCCGUAA